rnacentral:rRNA from 1 species
UACGGAAGGCAGCAGUGGGGAAUAUUGCACAAUGGGCGCAAGCCUGAUGCAGCCAUGCCGCGUGUAUGAAGAAGGCCUUCGGGUUGUAAAGUACUUUCAGUCGUGAGGAAGGUGUUAAGGUUAAUAACCUUAGCAAUUGACGUUAGCGACAGAAGAAGCACCGGCUAACUCCGUGCCAGCAGCCGCGGUAAUACGGAGGGUGCGAGCGUUAAUCGGAAUUACUGGGCGUAAAGGGCACGCAGGCGGUUAAUUAAGUUGGAUGUGAAUCCCCGGGCUUAACCUGGGAAUGGCAUUCAAGACUGGUUAGCUAGAGUCUUGUAGAGGGGGUAGAAUUCCAUGUGUAGCGGUGAAAUGCGUAGAGAUGUGGAGGAAUACCGGUGGCGAAGGCGGCCCCUGGGACAAAGACUGACGCUCAUGUGCGAAAGCGUGGGGAGCGAAACAGGAUUUAGAUACC